AUCGUCGGGGCAGAGAUAACAGAGAUGUGACAGCUUUUGAAUGCUCCAUAAGAAAUGCAUGGGAGCGAAGUGAACACAGAAUUUGACGUAAAGGACGGUUGGGGGCACAACAUUUGUGGUGGUAAACCUGAUAUCCUAACAUGUAUGUUAAAUGUUACUAAAUAUAUUACUAGUAAAAGUGACAUAACGAACGAAAACACGAACUCUGAGAUAACCUCAAUUAAAUAUGAUGCGAUGGUUUCAAAUUAUAAAAGAAAAGUCAUGUUAACUGCAUAUGUAUGUAUGUAUUUAUUACAGUUACAUACAUUUUAACAAACAAUAUACUAUUGGCUGCUUCUGUAGUUCCCUAUUAUGGAAUUUCAAUGUAUAAAAUAUACGUAAUCGCACAAAUAAUGACAAAAGGUAAUCAAGGGGGAGAUUACUACAUGGAUGCUAUUAAGGCCAGCUGAUUUUUAAGUUGUCUAGGAACUUGAAGCAAAAGUGUAUUAUGUUCAAAUGAACUACUGAAGGCAUUUUCUAAUUGUUCAAUGUAAUAUGCAAACUGUUCAUACGGAACAUUAAGAUUGCCAUAAGAUAAAGUUUCAGAAUAGUGGGCUUGGAAACGACAAUAAUGUAGUCUCUAGAAUUUCUGCCACAUGCAUUUGUAUAUUCACAGCAUAUCUGAGAAGAGUGUUUUAAGCAUGCAUCCACUGAGUAUCCACAUAUUUAUCGGCAUUAUGAGGUGGUUGGGAAUUAUUAAUUAUGGUGGUCUCACUUAAAUUGGAGAUAUCUUCAUUAGCAGAUAAGAAUUGUGGUGUGAUCAGAUGAUUAAAACAGGACUUGCGUUCGUGGUGUAUUUAUUUUUUAUGUUGUCGGUUCAGUAUAUAAGGGAAAAGUGUUAGAGUCUGUGAUUUUGAAAAUGAAAAAACAGGUCGGUAGAGAGCGGUGAAACGGUUGUGUCGAAAGGGUUCUUAGAAGGUACUCGAAAUCUUCGAAGGAUAAGAAUUAUUGGGAAGGGCGAACAAAAGAUAGGUUUUACGACAUGCAGGUGGACGAAGUGAGUGAAAGUUUCAGGGUGAUAGUGGUUGGAAGUCAAUAAAUACAGACUAUAUACAAAUAUUACAUGUUGCACAAUUUUGUGGGAUUUGUUAGCCCCCACAAAAUGUUGCUAAAUCAAAAGCACAAUUACCAGUUGGGUUGUGCUGCAUAUAUUUUAUACAGAACAAUAGCUUGUAUUUGCUUAUAUUUUAAUAAAGUGUGAUGCAAAUAACUAUUAAUAAUAUGAGGAUAAAAA